rnacentral:rRNA from 1 species
GACGAACGCUGGCGGCGUGCUUAACACAUGCAAGUCGAACGGAAAGGCCCUGCUUUUGUGGGGUGCUCGAGUGGCGAACGGGUGAGUAACACGUGAGUAACCUGCCCUUGACUUUGGGAUAACUUCAGGAAACUGGGGCUAAUACCGGAUAGGAGCUCCUGCUGCAUGGUGGGGGUUGGAAAGUUUCGGCGGUUGGGGAUGGACUCGCGGCUUAUCAGCUUGUUGGUGGGGUAGUGGCUUACCAAGGCUUUGACGGGUAGCCGGCCUGGGAGGGUGACCGGCCACAUUGGGACUGGGGUACGGCCCGGACGCCAACGGGGGGAAGCGGUGGGAAUAUUGCACAAUGGGCGGAAGCCUGAUGCAGCAACGCCGCGUGCGGGAUGACGGCCUUCGGGUUGUAAACCGCUUUCGCCUGUGACGAAGCGUGAGUGACGGUAAUGGGUAAAGAAGCACCGGCUAACUACGUG